CCGGGGACGCGCGUUGGUUGCGGAUACUGCGGACUGUGAUGAUCUCCAUAGAUGACGAGUCUGAUUCGAGCUUCUCGCUG
rnacentral:snRNA from 1 species